AUGAGCUGUGGAUUGAGUUGGGAUAGUCGCUGACAAAUGGGGGACGACCAUAAUCCGGCAAGUGAUGCGGAAACCCUAAAUGUACUGGAUCUAGGCUGAGUGGUUUCUGUGGGUGUUGGCGGUGAAAUUGUUUCAGAAUCCAAUUUUCGUAUUGAUCGGUGGGAUUCUUGUUUUACAGUUUGUAUGUGAAGAUGAUUCUGACCCUUACUUUGCUUUCAUCUCUCUUUAUUGGGAUGUUUGGGAUUAGCGGGUUGAGAUUCCUGCAAUACUUUUCUUCAUUUGGGUCUUCUCAAGUUCAGUUUUUUCACCCUUGGGUUGAUCAUAUUUAGCUUGAGUUUGUUUUUUAACUUGUUUUGGAUGUGGAUUGAGUUCAGAGGAUGUGUACAAAGGAGUUGAAUGUGGAAAGAUGUGGCCAGUCUUUACCCUAGACCCUGACUUCUACUGUUAGCUUUUUGCGAUUUUGACUUAGGUGCUCAAUUCUAAUAAUGACUAUGAACCUUCCUUGAUAACCUUUUUGUAAUUGCAGGUACCCUGAACUACUCUUGCAUGGAAGCCUCCAUGCCUCUGCUCCACACAAAGAAAGAAGAUCCAAUGAAUCAGGGUUUGAUGGUAACAGACAGAAAAAAUUGCUGCGAUCAAAUGUUGCUGUUCAAUUUCUUUUCGUGUUUAUAUCCUUUUUGAUCAUGUAGCUUGCUUUUGGGUUGAUUGUGGAGGUGGGUCAUGUAACAAGACAUCACCCUUCUCCUAUAGUUGCCAUUGUGAUGUUGGAUAUUACAAUAUUCUCAAUGCCACUGCCUUCCCUUGUGUCAAACAAUGUGCUAUUGGCAUUGGUUGCUCUAACCUGGGAAUUCCAAUGACGAACUCAUCUACCACAACACCGCCACCAACAUUGUCCGUGAGCGCUAGCUCAACUCUCCAAGGAAGCUGUAUUGGGUUGCUUAUGUUGAUAAUGUUCAUGGCUAGUAUACAAUUGCAUUAGGGCUUUUUGUCCUUGAUCUUAAGACUUAAGAGUCUCUCAUUCUUAUUUUGGUCGGUGAACCCUGCAUGUUAUCACUGAAUAAAUGCCACACGGAGUUCAAUCGCAUGAUUAUUGUAAUGUUAUUGACACAGAAGCUAAGAUUAUAGGUUAUGGAAGUUGCAUCUUUUAUAUCUUUUUUGUCUUGUUAUUUCAUAGUAUUUACAAGAAAAAAUAUUAUUAUUCCAUACAGAUAUAUUCAGAACCUUUGCUCAUA